rnacentral:rRNA from 1 species
AAAUUGACGGGGGCCCGCACAAGCGGUGGAUGAUGUGGUUAAUUCGAUGCAACGCGAAAACCUUACCACCUUUGACAUGUACGGAAUCCUUUAGAGAUAGAGGAGUGCUCGAAAGAGAGCCGUAACACAGGUGCUGCAUGGCUGUCGUCAGCUCGUGUCGUGAGAUGUUGGGUUAAGUCCCGCAACGAGCGCAACCCUUGUCAUUAGUUGCUACAUUCAGUUGGGCACUCUAAUGAGACUGCCGGUGACAAACCGGAGGAAGGUGGGGAUGACGUCAAGUCCUCAUGGCCCUUAUAGGUGGGGCUACACACGUCAUACAAUGGCUGGUACAAAGGGUUGCCAACCCGCGAGGGGGGAGCCAAUCCCAUAAAGCCAGUCGUAGUCCGGAUCGCAGUCUGCAACUCGACUGCGUGAAGUCGGAAUCGCUAGUAAUCGUGGAUCAGCAUGUCACGGUGAAUACGUUCCCGGGUCUU